rnacentral:lncRNA from 1 species
ACAAUAUAGCCGGUUUAAUUGUCGGAUUUUUGGAUGUUUUAAAAUCUUGUGCCGGGCCACAACCCUCUCUCUUAUAUCAGCCCAAUGCCAUCUGCACAGCCCAUUCACCCCAUCUAUCUUACACUUUGUUGCGGAUCAUCUGAUCGUGAUCAAACGGUUCGAAAACAGACUAAAACUGCUAAACCUAGCCCUUGCUUUCCUAUUUAAACACCCCGAACCUGCCAUUUUGCCCUAAUCCUCCCUUGUUUUUCGCGUGCAGGCACUCCCCACCCCGAACUAGCAGCUUCCCACUCCCAACUAACCCAUCGGCCCACCAAGCCCGUCUGGGACCCGCCCGAGCUCGGAACCGCCGC